UCAAACAGAAUUAAUGUUAUAGUUAUAAUUUAUAUUAAAUGUAGCAGAUUGGAAGAUUAGAUUUGUAACUAUUAUAAUUGUAUAAGUUUAAUAUAACAUACAAAUAAAAUUUAUAAAAAUUGUUUUGGAUUCAUAUUUUUAAUUUUUUAGUUAAAGAAAAAAUUAAAUAACUAUACAUUACUUAUAUAUUUUAUUUUUAUUUUUGUUUGGUGAACAGUGAGCGACGUAAAAUAAAAAAACUGAUUGGCAAUUGUUGUGUAUCAAUACCUAGUGUCAAGUAAACUUAUAACCAUAUCAACUAGUAUACCUACUAUAAACUUUUAACCAUAUCAAAAAAGUUUAUUGUCAUUGUAAUUUAACUUUCUGUUUUUUUACAUAAUUUUUUCAGUUCAUAUUAAUUAUGCUUAAUUGAUGACAUGACAUAACAAUUGAUAGUGAGCAGUAAAGGCUAAAGAAACCUAGGUUCUAAAGUGGAGGUACUUUAGAAUAAUGGUUAUUAACUAGGUAUGCACAUUAUCUAUGCCUGAGUGCCAGUGGAUUUACAAUAUUUUCAUUUUCAAGCAAGAUAUUGUCAUACAAGCCACAAGGACAUAAUAGGUGGCAUGUUAUGCGCCUCGGCGACAACACCCAAAGCACUUAAGCACUGGAGAACCGCCCGCUUGACUCCCUUCCAUGCGGUGGUAAACCACGAUCGCCGGCGAGUGACUUGCAUCUUAAAUGAAUUCACUUCCUGGUCCAACCGUCCUACUUGCAGAUUCCCGGAACUAUUCCUCAUCUCAGGUCCCUUGGCUGAAUCCAUCUUCAGUCUUCACUUCUUCAAGUAACGCAGUGGAAUCGCCGUCCGGAACUUCCUUGAUAAUCUGCGGCAACGCUGUCUCGUUACCAUCACCGGACGUCAUAGGUUCUAGUUCAUUGUCAUCGUCCUGGAUGAUCUGCUGUAAUGUUGUCUGCACGUCCUCGUCACUACCGGACGUCAGGUUACAAAUACACGUUAACGGUAUUUACGGUAAUACAAUUGAUAAUAAAUAUUUAAAAAGAUAAUCACAAUCUCCAAAGUGAAGCCAAUUCAUAGUGUAACAAUAACAUUUAAAACAACUCAGGAUAGUUUAUCAUUUACUUCAAGUAAACAUAAAGUUGACCAGGAAGAGUUUACAUAUUUCCUUUGGGUAAACAUAAUAUUGAACCGGGAGAGUUUACCAUCGGAAAAGUUUACAAGUUUUAAAAAUCAGGAGAGUUUACCACCGCCCAAAUUAUUAUAAUUAUUAGUCAUUGAUUUUGACACGUAUUCUAAUUUACAAUUUAAUUAGGUAUUUUUUCAAUUGAACACACAAUAACAAAAUAUCCUUUAAAUCUUAUAAGAU